rnacentral:tRNA from 1 species
GGGCGGUUAGCUCAGUUGGUAGAGCGCCUGGUUUACACCCAGGAGGUCGUUGGUUCGAGACCAUCACCGCCCACCA